UCUUCAUAACAUUUUUUAGCACCCGAGCCGUCCAUCUCUCGGUUUCCAGAUGCCUCCUAGAAGCUUCGCCAUCAUUCUCUCCCUCGCCCGGAUCGACCGACUGCGCACCCUUCUGCUCUAACCCAAUUCAGGCAUUCUCUCGCUCGCCUGACCGAUCACUGCACACCCUUCCGUUGCAAUCCCCUGAUUCAGCUUUUCAAGCCAAUCAAGCCCUUCUUUUGGUCCACAUGGCUGCAUCAGCAUCGCUGAUCAAGAACAUCAAACAGCUUUCUUUUCCUAGAAGCGGAUGGGGAGGCAUGGUAACUUCGUCUGCAAGAAAACCAGGAGAUAAACAUGUUGGAGAAGGCCCUGUUGCAAAUGACAAUGCUCCAUUGCGGGAUGACAAAUCUGAACCUAUUGUUGCCUUCAGCAAGCCACCACCUUCUCCCUUUCUUGGGCCUCUAGUUGUUCUUUCUCUGCUGGAAAUAUGUUCAGGCAGUGACGGAGGUGACAACUAAAACAUGCUAAUGCUUUCACUUACUAGAUCUUUUUAACCAGUUUUGGACGUGUUAUGCAUAGACCAUCCUUACUUUUCUGUGUACAUAGUUGAGACAAUAGACCAUGAGGGCCGCCACCUGUUUGUUAAAGUUCGAAGAUAAUCAAAGUGUGUAUAUGUUUACAUGCAUCAAUGCAUGUUCUUCCUAAGUUUGGCCUGAUUUAACAUGGGACGAGCAAUAAUAAAUUUGAUGC